CUUCGGCCAUCUUGGCAUUUGGCAUCUUCAUUUUCAUUUCAUCUUGGCCACCUUGCCCGGCCUUGCCUUGCCGUGGAUAGUUUGUAUUAUUUGUGCUUUUUAAGAAUAUUUUUUUAAUUCGGAUACUUUUAUAAUAGCUUUAAUAGUAUUAUUAACAUAGUGCAUAAAAUGGUGUCCUGUUUUUGACGCAGUUGGAGUAGCAGAAACAAAUGUAGAUAAAAAAAUCUGCAGGAAUAACGUUUCAAUUAUGACAGAAGCUCGAAACAAAUGACUGUGAAUUAGUGUGAAUGAAAAGCCCUAUUAAAAGCUUUCCAGAAGAUCCCGCGAAGAAGACAUGAAGUAUAGAUCAGAUUUGUUAAUAGAGGAGUAUGUUCAAAACACUUUUUAGAAAAAGAUAUUGACAGAACUUCACUUUCAUCUGUUCGUUUGAGAGACUGUGCUGUUCCAAUAGCUUAUGUCACACAGAAUCAGCUGAGAGAAGUGGUCUACAAAAAACCAGAGAGGAAACGGAAUAUGUGGCUACGAAAAGCAAAAGAAAGGUUUACAAAGCAAAUGUGACACAUUUUUUUAUAAUAUUUAGGAAUGUCAGUAAAUUACAUUAAAAAAUGUAUGUAAAGAUUUUUUGCAAUAAAAAUGUUUAUAUUUAUCAAGGAUGUAUUAUUUGGUAUGGCCACAUAUCGUCAGUGAUGUGACAAUACCUCCUAUCUGUUUUUUUCAAGAGAUUUGUAAGAUAGACUAAAAACUUGUUUCGGCCACCUCCUGUUUUCAUAUAUUUUUUGACUUGUUUUGCAGUAAAUUCAACUAUCUAUUUACUACAAAAAAAGUCAGAAUACGUACGAAAACAGAAAGUGACCUUAAAAAAUGUUUUUCGUCUCCUGCAAACCUCAUGAAAAAACAUAUAGGAGGUAUUGUCACAUUACUGACGAUAUAUUUCAGUGAAUGUCUAAAAAAUAUACUGUGAAUGUUCAAAGAACGUUCGUAGACAUUCAUGGAAUGUUCUAACAAGACAUUCAGUCUAAAAAUAUACUGUGAAAGUCCAAAGAACAUUCA